NCUGGGACACCCCCGGCUGUGGCACCGGGCGUGCGGCCGUGCCGGGCGGCAGCGCUCGUAGUGCCCCGUGCCCACCGCCCGCAGACACCGGGCUGGCGGCCGCGCUUGGUGCUGCCUGGCUGGCGGCGGUGCCAUUGGGCGGCGGUGCCAUCGGUGCCCCUGGAAGCAGCCCGCACCCUGCCGACAGCGUGCGAGGCCCGGGGACCGGGCAGGUUCGGCGCCGUGGUCACCUCUCGGAGUCCACGCUCUGGUGCCAGGCGGGUGCUGGACACCGGUGAGGGCCGAGCCCCCUCCAGGCUGCGUCCCGUGGGGGAUGCAGCCGGUCCCGGUGCAGCCGCAGCUCCCCGGGUCUGGUUCCUGUGGGCCUCACGGAGCGCCUCGCUCUGCCCGGGUCCGUCUGUCAGCAGCCUCCCCCUGCCCGGCGUGGGGCUCGGUGCUGCGGGUGCCGCCCGUGGCUGUCCCGGUGGCGGCGGCGCUGCAGGCGCUUGGCGCGAGGUGCCGGGCGCGCUGACUCCUCAGGGUCUAACUUUAGCAACUGCAGUAAGGCUGCGCCCAUGCUGGAAUGGGAAGCUCCUCGCCGCGUGGUAUAAAUACAUCUGGCCGCUUCCUAAAAUACCCGGCGGCAGCGUGCUGCCUCCCCCGGCGGUGCUGCUGGCAGCGCGGCGCUCGGCUGCCCUCAGCGCCAGCUCCGUGCCGCUCACACCGCCUGGAAGCCGCCGGCACCGCUGCCCGAAGCUCCUCGCGCUUCCCACGCCGGGUCUCUGCCUGCGCUCUGGGCGUGCCGCUGCUCACUUCCCUUUUUGUGCCUUUUGUGGUUUAGGUUUCCCUGAGUGGCCUCUUUCACACCCCGCCUGUGGCCCUGUGGUGUCCCCCCGGCGCUGUCCCGGUGCUGCCCUCCUGCCCCCGGUGGUGUCCCACCGGUACCAGCAAGGCCAUGCUGGGAUGGCGCCGUGUGGAGCAGCGGGACCAGGGCCUCGCCUGUGCUGGGGGCAGCAGGGGAUGCCCGGCACGAGGUGUGGGGACGGAGCGCAGGCGCUCUACGGCUCUGGGGGGCGGGCAGGGAGUGUGGGAGCCAUGGCUCCAUGUGCUGCCCCCAGCUGCCACGCUGCCGGGUCCUGGUGGCUGUCAGGGCAGAGCCGUCCUGCUGGGGACACCCCGGCCCUGUGC
rnacentral:lncRNA from 1 species